rnacentral:rRNA from 1 species
UACGGAGGGGGGCUAGCGUUGUUCGGAAUUACUGGGCGUAAAGCGCGCGUAGGCGGACCUGCAAGUCGGGGGGUGAAAGCCCGAGGCUCAACCUCGGAACUGCCUUCGAUACUGCGGGUCUCGAGUCCGGGAGAGGUGAGUGGAAUUCCUAGUGUAGAGGUGAAAUUCGUAGAUAUUUAGGAAGAACACCAGUGGCGAAGGCGGCUCACUGGCCCGGUACUGACGCUGAGGCGCGAAAGGCGUGGGGAGCAAACAGG